UGAGAUGUAGCUCAGUUGGAAGAGUGCUUACCUAGUAGGUAUGAAGCCCAGGGUCCAAUUACCAGCAUCACAA
rnacentral:tRNA from 1 species